UACGAAGGGGGCUAGCGUUGUUCGGAAUCACUGGGCGUAAAGCGCACGCAGGCGGGUCGUUAAGUCAGGGGUGAAAUCCCGAGGCUCAACCUCGGAACUGCCUUUGAUACUGGCGACCUUUGAGUCCGGGAGAGGUGAGUGGAACUCCGAGUGUAGAGGUGAAAUUCGUAGAUAUUCGCAAGAACACCAGUGGCGAAGGCGGCUCACUGGCCCGAUACUGACGCUGAUGCACGAAAGCGUGGGGAGCAAACAGG
rnacentral:rRNA from 1 species